rnacentral:rRNA from 1 species
UUUUUUGGCUCUGGGGAUAGUAUGAUCGCAAGAUUGACAAUUAAAGAAAUUGACGGAAGAAUACCACAAGGAGUGGAUUGUGCGGCUUAA